rnacentral:lncRNA from 1 species
GGAGCUUUGCUGAAACUGCACAAAAAAAUCGAGCUGGGGGGUUCCCUGGUCCCCGAUGUUGGGGCGGAGAGCGCGGCGCCCAGGGAGGGGGCGGCGCAGACCGGCCUAGGGGACACCUGGUCGAGCGCAGCCGCCGCUCCGCUCGAGCCCUGCGCUCCAGUGCCCCCACUGGCUGGAGAGCUCGCCCAGACCAGGGGUCUUCCUCCGUCGCUGACAGAUUUUAACCGUUAGAAGAGUACCAGUUCUGGAAAACAACCAAAGUUUCUUUGAUUGAAUGCCCAUGUAAUGCAUUGGAAUAUGAUAGGCGAUUAAGGUUUAACAAUGUUAAAAUGAAGAUAUUACUAAAAUGACCCUCUAAAUAGCCCAACAAUUAUUAUUUUCUUUGUCCUGUGGAUUUGGCUUUGAAGGGUGUGCUGCUCUUAAUAAGCUUUUCAUUCUGCUGGCCAUACUUUCUCUCCCUACUCUGGACUCUUCUAGAUGACUCCAGCUGUGCUCUCCCUUAUAAUCUACAAACCCUCUCCUCAACCAUACCCUGGACCAGUCAUGUCCUCAUCUCAGACACUACUUUUCUGGUCUUCACACUACUCAGUACUUAGUGUGUUAGAAAUAAGGAAGGUGAUAAAGAAUGCCUGUAAGGGUCUUUGUAGUACUGCCUGGCCUGGGACUCACUAUGCUGACAAAGCUGUCCUGGAAUUCAUGAAGUCUUAUAGCAAGGAAGUUGGACAUGAUUAUUUUUGUCUCCUAAGAGUAAAAAAUAUCUAAAUUAAAUAGUAGCAAUAAGAACAGAACUGAUCCUGAAGCAAAGUGAUACCUGCGUGUGUCCUAGCCAUUGGGAGGUGAAGGAAGGAAGGGGGAAACACAGCAUGUCAAGGUAAAAAACGUGCAACAUUAUUAAGAUAGAAGGGAGGUAGAAGGAGCCCGUUCUUGUUCUGGAAGGUGACAGUGAUGUUACUGAAGGAUGACAAGCAUGAGAAACCACCUGAAACACUGAGCCUUUCACAAUAUUACGUUUGAACUGAUAGUUCGGCAUUUAUUUUUAAAAUGUUUUGAUUAAAGGUCAUUGGCUUUACCAAGCUAAGACUGAAAAGUUCCAGAUAGACAGACAAAUUUGGCAAUAAUUCAAAUAAAGCCAAUGAGAGUAGGCAAGUUCACUGAAACUCUGUAGUGAGGACAAUUAAUUUCUU